rnacentral:rRNA from 1 species
AGUUCAGAUUGCAGGCUGCAACUCGCCUGCAUGAAGUUGGAAUUGCUAGUAAUCGCGAAUCAGAAUGUCGCGGUGAAUACGUUCCCGGGUCUUGUACACACCGCCCGUCACACCAUGGGAGUCGGAAAUGCCCGAAGUCAGUGACCUAACCGAAAGGGAGGAGCUGCCGAAGGUGGAGCCGGUAACUGGGGUGAAGUCGUAACAAGGUACC